rnacentral:rRNA from 1 species
UGCAGAGGUCCCAAGCGUUGUUCGGAAUCACUGGGCGUAAAGCGCACGUAGGCGGAUGUGUCAGUCAGGGGUGAAAUCCCGGAGCUCAACUUCGGAACUGCCCUUGAUACAGCACGUCUUGAGUCCGGAAGAGGUGGGUGGAAUUCCUAGUGUAGAGGUGAAAUUCGUAGAUAUUCGGAAGAACACCAGUGGCGAAGGCGGCUCACUGGUCCGGUACUGACGCUGAGGUGCGAAAGCGUGGGGAGCAAACAGG